AUCAUAUAUAUUCUUUUUUUUUUCUGAUUGGAAAAUCCGGUUCAUCUUAUAAUUAAUUUCUUGCCAUUUAAUGAAUAGACGUUCUCACUACGCUGGGUUUGUUCAUAUUAUCGUUCAAGAGACGCAAGCAAGGGAAAGGAAAUCUAUCAGUUUAGUGAAUUCUGGUCGCUUUUGACCUUGAAAAUAUCUAUAAACGAUCAAUCCAAGCCAUCUCAAGAGUUCCUCCGAAUCACUGAUUGAUUUGGAAAUGCCUUAAACACAGUAAAUCCAUGGCUUCCAAUUCCAAUCUCCUUCUACGAGCAGAGCAAUCUCAUGCUCAAACUCCCUUGGUCACCUCAAAUUCAGAUCGAAACGACGUCGAAGCAGGACAAGGCCGCCUGAGGCAAGGAGAUGAUCAUGACGAACCGGAGGAGACUCAGCUGGAUCAGAUGCUUCGCCGGAUAGAAACGUUUCUCGCAUUGCUUGGAUGCGAGCAAUCGUCGUCGUUGAACUUGGCUCUGUCUUGGACCUCUUUCAUGGUGAUCGGCGUGGUAGUUCCGCUAGUGGCGCUUUUGUUCGGCGACUGUUCCGACUGCGAGGGUUAUCAAAGGAAGGACUUCGAGAUAGAAAUAAUUGCUUUUCAGGCGUGUCUCGCUGCCGUCUCCUUGCUCUGUCUCUCUCACAAUCUGCGCAAGUAUGGUCUAAGGAGGUUCCUCUUUGUUGAUCGGUACAGUGGAAAACUGAUGAGCUUGCACGAACGUUACGUCAAGCAGGUUUUGGAGUCUUUUCGGUUAUUUGCUCUGUGGGGAUCGACAUGUUUCUUUCUGAAGACUAUUCGAGAAAUCAUUCGCCUUUCGCACGUAAAUCAUGAGUCAUGGUGGCCUUCGUUUGCUGUUUCAGUAGCUUCGAUCAUAUCCUGGACUUAUGUGUGUACGAUCUCCCUAUUAGCCAGCACUUUGUUUCACUUGAUCUGCAAUUUGCAAGUUAUCCACUUCGAUGAUUACGGGAAGCUCAUACAAAGGGAUUCUAAUGUGCUCAUUUUCAUGGAAGAGCACAUUCGAUUACGCUAUCAUCUCUCCAAGAUAAGCCACAGGUUUAGAAUCUAUCUUCUUCUAGGGUUCUUGGUUGUUACAGUUAGCCAAAUUGUCACUCUGAUACAGGUCACAGCAUAUAGUGGAAUAAUUACUUUUGCAAAUGGUGGAGAUUUUGCUGUUUCUACACUCGUUCAGGUGGUCGGAAUCAUUAUUUGUCUGCAUGCAGCAACAAGGAUUUCUCACAGAGCUCAAAACAUUGUUUCACUUGCGAGCAGAUGGCAUGCUCUAGCCACAUGCGCCACUCCCGAUGCGUCUCAAUUGAGAAGUUAUGCUAGUACCGGUAGCUUAGAGACAGCAAACCAUUUGAAUUCUUUAAAUUUUAAUUCCUCUGAAAGUGAUCUAGAAUCCUUGGAAUUCAACGUGAUGCCUACGAAUAGCCAACUGGCUUCUUACAUGUCCUCGCAUCACAAGAGACAAGCCUUUGUGAUGUAUUUACAAACGAAUCCUGGAGGAAUCACUAUAUUUGGAUGGGUAGUUGACCGGUCCCUUGUCAACACGAUAUUUUUUCUUGAACUUACUCUGGUUACUUUCGUGCUGAGCAAGACCAUAUUAUGAUGAUGUAUGUGGCAAAUCGGUACCAACGGCGGGCAUUAUUGCAUCUUAAUUGUGAAUCAUUUCACGUGUCUUGUAGCUAUUUCUCCUUAUCAUUGCAUGUCAAAGUGUGAUUUUCACAGUCAAAACUGAGGCAGGAACAGGAUUGGUAAAAGGAUAUGAUCGGAACAGGACGAUGGUACAGUUUUGGAGGCCUUCCGAUAGGGAUGAACUAUGUCUAAGUGAUUCAAGCUGAUUCCGUCGAAAGACAAAACUUGGACCGGUCGAGCUUCAUAACCGGGCUGCAUAUUGCACAGAGUAUUCUAUCUAUGGUGAUCCAGCCCGACCCAGGAGUCCCAGCACCGAUGGUGGUUCGGUCGUUUGGGGUGGGCUGGUGGAGUGGAGCAGUAGAGGGAGGGUGGGGAGAGAUGAAACACCCCUGCAAAAGAAAUGAACUGGUGCCUUCUUUGGGCUUUUCAGGCCAGCCCAAACCUUAGUUGGGUUACAAAUUUGACCCAAGUGUUCAGCAGCCUUGCAAGAUCGACAUAAGUGACAUCUCACCCGCUGCAUUCAUUCCAAGGUUACAUUGGCAUCUCAAAAUAUAAUUCUCCAGCUGUUGUACGUUCAAUUCGUAUGGCUUGUCCAUUUAUUUAUGGGUUGCUCAGUUCAGCAUGCAUGAGGCAUUUAUUCUUGUUAACA